rnacentral:sRNA from 1 species
ACUGUUUCAUUCAAUCUGAUUAUCUCAUAUAUGCUCUACUUGUGUCUAUGUAUGUUUCCUUGUCCCUCCGAAUUCAAUCACCAUUUCUA